rnacentral:rRNA from 1 species
AUGGGUAUGUCUCCGUAUAAAAUGGUUUAUGGAAAAGCAUGUCACUUACCUCUCGAACUAGAACAUAAGGCAUAUUGGGCUAUUAAAGAGCUCAACUAUGAUUUCAAACUUGCCGGUGAGAAGAGGUUAUUUAACAUUAGCUCACUUGAUGAAUGGAGAACCCAAGCCUAUGAGAAUGCCAAGUUGUUUAAAGAAAAAGUUAAAAGAUGGCAUGACAAAAGGAUACAAAAGCGUGAGUUUAAUGUAGGCGAUUAUGUAUUGCCAUACAACUCUCGUUUAAGAUUUUUUGCGGGGAAACUUCUCUCUAAAUGGGAAGGUCCUUAA